rnacentral:sRNA from 1 species
AGAGGCUGUGGCUGCUGCGGAUGGAGGGACCGCUGAUGGUGGUUUGCCUUCUCCCCGGCAGAUCUGUAUCUUCGUCGGGGAGACGCUGCUGUUUUCUAACUGGGCCAUCACUGCAGACAUCCUCAUGUACGUGGUCAUCCCCACGCGGCGCGCCACUGCCGUGGCCUUGCAGAGCUUCACCUCCCACCUGCUGGGGGACGCCGGGAGCCCCUACCUCAUUGGCUUUAUCUCAGACCUGAUCCGCCAGAGCACCAAGGACUCCCCGCUCUGGGAGUUCCUGAGCCUGGGCUACGCGCUCAUGCUCUGCCCUUUCGUUGUGGUCCUGGGCGGCAUGUUCUUCCUCGCCACUGCGCUCUUCUUCGUCAGCGACCGCGCCAGGGCUGAGCAGCAGGUGAACCAGCUGACGAUGCCGCCCGCAUCUGUGAAAGUCUGAGGUGGUGCCAUUGGGACAAUGAAGAACCCACACUCCCACCUCGUCUGGGAGGUGUCCUACAGCGUCCGGGACCGGCUGGGCUGCCCCAAAGCUUUCUGUGUGAUCCACGGCUAGGCACCCACCCUCUCUGGCCCAGGCCUGCUGAGUGGCCCUGGCAUCAAGAAGAGGCUGUGUCCUCAGUUACCCUGGAAGGAUGUGUGUGUUGGAGCCACACGGUUGGACAGAUUCCCAGCCCUAGGUUUGGACCGCAGGGCCCCUGGGGCCAAGGAA